rfam:Chloroflexi bacterium RBG_16_54_11 RBG_16_scaffold_5112, whole genome shotgun sequence.
GGGGAUGACAGGCUUCGACGGGAGAGGCUGAACCCGGAUUGCGAGCCGAGAGGCGCCGACCUCGCUAAAUCAGUGCAAAACACAAGUGCCAAUCGCACUUCCUAUGCUGCUCUUCCUCUCGCUGCAUAAGCGCUAGAAGAUCAGUCAUGAGCCUCUUGUAGGUUCACGUCCACCUACCCCGACCUCCGACCGGAGGUAGAGUGGGCGUCAAAAGGUCGGAGUGCCACACACGACACCGCUAUCUGUGUGAAAGAGGAGCUCUCGGGCUUCGGCGGUUAGUCAGCCGAGCGUUUUGUCGCCUGUACGCCGGCUGGCGAAUAACACAACCGACUACGCUCGUAGAUAUCCGUGGAUCUAUUCUUUCGGACGCGGGUUCGAUUCCCGCCAUCUCCACCU